rnacentral:rRNA from 1 species
AUGGUGGAAGCUCCGGAGAUGAGCGCCCCCCUCCUUGCCGGCAGGCCGGCGGCUGUGGAAGCGGUGCCGCCGUGGCGGGAGCAGCUUACGGUUCGAGCGAUAGUGGUGAGCGCCCUCCUGGGGGUGCUCUUCUGCCUCGUCACGCACAAACUCAAUCUAACGGUGGGGAUCGUCCCCUCGCUCAACGUCGCCGCGGGGCUGCUCGGUUACUUCCUCGUGCGGAUUUGGACGGCGGCGCUCGGGAUGUUCGGCAUCGUCUCCAAGCCCUUCACCAAGCAGGAGAACACCGUCAUUCAGACCUGCGUCGUCGCCUGCUACGGCCUCGCCAUCAGCGGGGGAUUCGGAUCGUAUAUGCUUGCAAUGGAUCAAAAAACUUAUGAGCUUAUCGGGACAGAUUAUCCCGGUAACACGGCAGUGGAUGUGAAGAAUCUCUUGCUGAGUUGGAUGAUCGGGUUUAUGUUUCUAGUUAGCUUCAUUGGUAUUUUUAGUCUCGUUGCUCUGCGCAAGGUGAUGGUGAUUGAUUACAAGCUAACAUAUCCUAGUGGAACUGCGACUGCAAUGUUGAUAAAUAGCGUCCACACUACUACUGAAGUUGAACUUGUGGAAAAACAAAUAAGCUGUCUUGGAAAGUAUUUAAGCAUAAGUUUUCUUUGGAACUGCUUUAAGUGGUUCUUCAGUGGUGUUGGGGACUCAUGUGGCUUCGACAAUUUCCCUUUACUCGGCCUUGCAGCAUUUAAGAACACGUUUUAUUUUGACUUCAGUCCAACCUAUAUUGGAUGUGGCCUUAUAUGUCCGCAUAUUGUUAACUGCUCUGCACUUAUUGGAGCUAUCAUAUCUUGGGGUUUUCUAUGGCCAUAUAUAUCCACAAAAGCUGGGGAUUGGUAUCCAGCUGAGCUCGAAAGCAACGACUUCAAAGGACUCUAUGGGUACAAGGUUUUUGUAUCCAUAUCCCUGAUACUUGGGGAUGGUAUUUAUAACCUUGCCAAAAUCAUUUAUUCUGCUACAAAGGAAACGAUGAAUGCACAAUCAAACCAAGGAAGGCUUCCCCUUGUUUGGGUUCAGGAUGGCGAUAAAAUUUCCAAAUUACCAGCCAAGGAAAAGCUGCUAAAUGAGGUGUUUGUAAAAGACAAUAUCCCUCCUUGGUUGACAGGAUCUACUUAUGUGGGCCUUGCAGCAAUUUCAACUGCAAUUGUACCGAUAAUGUUCUCACAGCUCAAGUGGUACCUUGUCCUCUCUGCCUAUGUUGUUGCUCCUCUACUCGCCUUCUGCAACUCAUACGACACCGGCCUAACAAACUGGAGCCUUGCAUCCACAUAUGGAAAGAUUGGUCUUUUUCAUUUUUGCCUCAUGGGUUGGCCAUCGUGGUGGUGUGAUUGCAGGCUUAGCAGCAUGCGGUGUUAUGGUGUCCAUAGUAUCCACAGCUGGAGAUCUCAUGCAGGACAUCAAGACUGGUUACCUGACCCUCACUUCGCCAAGAUCUAUGUUUGUGUCACAGUUGAUUGGAACUGCCCUUGGUUGUGUCAUUGCUCCCCUCACAUUUUGGCUUUACUGGGCUGCCUUCGAUAUUGGAAAUCCUGA